AAUUGUUGUCUGUAUAACUUAUGUGAACAUAUAAUACAUUUGAAUAAAAAUCAGCAAGGAAUUUAAUAAAAAUCUAAAUUGUGAGUUGCCUGUUUUUUACUUUAUGUAGCAAACAAGGUAAGCAGCUGCAUAGCAAGACACUGGAAAACUUUGACAGCCACUCACGUUGCCUUCUGCAAUCUCUUUAGGCAUAUUAUCAAGUGAAUAGAAUAGAAUAGAAUAGAAUAGAAUAGAAUAGAAUAGAACAGAGCACAAUUACUCCAGUGUCUCGACCAGGUGAGCGCGUGACCUGAUCUUCUUGCACUCCAUCAAUGCUGCUGGCGACGCGACGGUCUAGAACCCGGCGACGCGAGUGAUGUAGGCAUCCAAUCGACCAAUCAGAAGGCUCUUAUUAUAAUCAGCGGAACGCGGCGUCGUGGAUUAUCAUGGAAGCGCUGGAGUUUGUCGGGUCGCGUCGCUCGCUCGUAGCGUAUCAUGUGAUAGGGGCUGGAAUUUGACACCUCAGGGGUUCUAAACACUCAUGUGUUUAUGGGACUUGAUUUUGGCACGCACUCCUCCGUUUAGAGCGAGGAGCGCGUCCUGAGAAAGUGCCGCGCGCGAGCUGUCCUGGACCUGACGCGUCUGGGUCAGUCAACACAACCCUGCUUUCUGGUCGCACCGGACACAGGUUUAUGUGAAUAACGUGGAUGUUCAGAAUUAUGCAUCAUCACUACAGGGAGAGGUCGAGAGGAAACAUAAUAAGGAAUACAUUUGUAUCAUCUGUGGAUUAUUUUCACUUGUCCUUUUCUUAAUUUAUUUCACUCAAGUCCAUGACAGGAGAGCUCGAUCAGGACCCAAAAGAUGGCAAAGGGUGGAGAAGUCUGGAGACCUGCAUGGCUGCACCUGCCCGAUGUCACCUGAGGAACUGGAAGGUGAGCAUUCCUCAUAUCAUUUGGGUUAUCAGCUAAUAAAUAAACUCACGCUUUGAUGCUGCCUGACAUAACAUGGCAACCCCUGUUUGGUCUCAGCUUGCCUGUACUACAUUACCAAAUGUGUCCGAAGCGUGUCGGUUUGGACUUGUUUGUGUGUCAGCACGCUUGAUUUUCACUCCGGCUCAUCGGAUCUUUUCAGCCAGACACUCCACAGACAUUCAUUCAUUAAAGUCAUCCUGAAAUAUUUACUCAUAUAGAUCUACGGUGGUGUUGGGUGUUGCUUAAGUAAUUAAAGGGGCUGAAGUGUUGGCUGUGUAGGAUCACUGGAGGUCUGCUGUAGUUCAGGUUUGGGGUGGGAAGCGUAUCCAUGUGAGUGGGCCGAUCGGACAUCACGGAUCGGUUUACUCUGUCAGGGUUUAUAUGACACAGAAGAGUAAUGGGCAGGACGUGACAGCGCACUAGAUUAACCCUGAGGGAUCAUGUCAUUGUAUUUCCUACUAGCCUGUGUUAUUGGCUCUGCUCUUUCUUUGCAAUCAUAAUAACAGCUUCAGUUCAGUACAUGCUGUAUCAGUUAUUAUGACAUC
ensembl:lncRNA